rnacentral:siRNA from 1 species
UAAAUGAAGUAAUGCCCGC